GUGGUCAUGGACGUUCAAGUGCGGGGAGAGUUCAGGGCCCUCUCGACGUUCGCCAUGGAGAAAGCGCGGAAAUAUGCCAUCCCCGAACUGGAGGAAAAAAUCCAGCUGUUCCAGACCCUGUGAAGAACUUCUGUGGCUCCACAUUUACGUCUUACAAGUCCUGGAUGCAGUGUACAUCUACGUGGUGCAGCAAGGAAGCAGCGUCGUGACAGCCGAAGAAGAGGGAGGAGGCGUUCCGGUGGUGGCGGCCGUGUUACGGCAGCUAACCUUUUUUUCCCCUCAUGCCGCAUACGAUGUCCCUACACAUCUUCUGGACUAGUUAAAGUGUUGGGAUGCGACUCAGGAGUGUAUGGUUCAAGGAAGAACCGCUAGCUUUCAAGAGUUAGUUCUCCUGAGGUGAAUAGAUGGCGCAGUCCUCGUAAGGCCCAGGGGGCGCUGCGAACGGUUGUGUACUUUGCUUAUCUUACAACGAACCAAUCAGGCGGCACCUGGAGUCUACUUAAACGGGUCUCGCAAGAUCGUCGACAUAGUCUGGCGGGAGCAAGCCGUCACUGUGAUUCUAAUACGGACCUUUUACACAGGAUUCUUACAGAAGCACCGGACGUUAUGCGCAUGGAAGCCACGCCUGAGGCAUCUAGCUGGAUGGCGCUGGACCCAGUGACAUCGGAAGAGGUACACACAGUGGUGGUGAAAGCAGAGUCCAGUCCUGGUGCCGAUGGCGUAACUGACGAAGAUCUGCAGCGCAUCCCUAGCGAAGAUCUUCCGGCACUAUUCAACUUAUUCCUGCUCCUUGGCAAGCGUCCUCCUUCCCUUACCUCAGCAAGAACCAGCUUUCUACCAAAGAAAUCUGUGAGUGUGGAUCCAUCCCAUAAUCGCCCAAUUACUAUUGCUAGUAUGUUUAUCCGAGCAUUUCACAAAAUUCUGGACCUCAAACUCCGUAGCUUUAUUAUAAUGGACGCUCAGCAGCGGGCCUUCCGACCCACUGACGGGACUUUUGAAAAUGUCGUCCUGCUGAGGUGAAUGUUGAAAACAGGCCCGGAAGAAAUGCAGGGUCUGACCCUAGCAUCAAUAGAUCUUCGACGAUCGUUUGAUAGUGUGCCGUUUAGUGUGAUCUUCCGAGCGCUAAGACCAAGGGGGGUAGAUCCCAGCCUAAUCGAGUACUUCGAGCAUUUUUUACAUCAGUAGCUCUACGACACUACAGAUGGGAGGGGUGGAGAGGUUGGUCAGUCCUUCGAAAGGAGUGCGGCAAGGAGACCCGCUAUCUCCACUACUCUUCAAUCAAGUCAUGGACUAAUUGUUAUCAACAAUGAGUCAACGGAUUGGCCCCGACAUCAAUGGCACACGCCUAGGGGCGUUGGCAUUUGCCGACGACAUACGUUUAUUGGCAGAAACCCCUGUAGGGCUGCAGUAUGUCCUGGACUCUUUUACGCUGUUCGCUUGUGCACACGGUCUCCAUAUCAAUACCACUAAAAGUGCUACCUGGUCUCUCAUCCCGUCAGGGUACCAGAAGCUGGUCAAGGUAACACCCCACGAGUACUUUGUCGGAGGAGACCCAUUGCCUACACUAUCUGUGAAUGAUAAAUUAGCCUACCUAGGCAUACUUGUCGAUGCUUUCGGGAGUGUCCACGCAGAUAAAGUAUUGGCUGCAGAGCAGCUGGAGGUCUUACGUCACUCACCCGUCAAACCGCACCAGAAGUUCAUAAUUUUGCUGUACCACCUGCUGCCUCGGUAUGUUUACAGCUGGACUUUAGCGGAGCUUAACAUCCCGAUGUUACAGAGAUGUGACAGAUAAAUCAGGAAGUGCCUAAAAAUAUUUUUUCCACUUACCGCACGACGUGCCUAACUCCUUUUUUUACGCAAGCAUCAAGACUGGGGGACUGGGAAUCCCAUGCUUCGCACUUGCAGUUCCCAAGAUGAAGUUGGACCGUUUGACUCGUCUAUCAUUAAGGCCGGAGGACGACUUCCUACAGGC